GAUGAACGCUAGCGGCAGGCUUAACACAUGCAAGUCGAGGGGCAGCAUGAAGGUUAGCAAUAACCUUUGAUGGCGACCGGCGCAAGGGUGCGUAACGCGUGAGCAACUUGCCCGUUUCAGGGGGAUAACCGGUGGAAACGCCGACUAAUACCCCAUAGUAUUGGUUUGAGGCAUCUCUUACCAAUUAAAGAAUUUCGGAAACGGAUAGGCUCGCGUGACAUUAGCUAGAUGGCGGGGUAACGGCCCACCAUGGCGACGAUGUCUAGGGGUUCUGAGAGGAAGGUCCCCCCACACUGGUACUGAGACACGGACCAGACUCCUACGGGAGGCAGCAGUGAGGAAUAUUGGGUCAAUGGACGCGAGUCUGAACCAGCCAAGUCGCGUGAAGGAAGACUGGCCCUAAGGGUUGUAAACUUCUUUUGUUUGGGAAUAAAUGAUACUACGUGUAGUAUUUUGCAUGUACCUUACGAAUAAGCAUCGGCUAAUUCCGUGCCAGCAGCCG
rnacentral:rRNA from 1 species